rnacentral:rRNA from 1 species
ACGAACGCUGGCGGCGUGCUUAACACAUGCAAGUCGAACGGUAAGGCCCCAGCUUGCUGGGGUACACGAGUGGCGAACGGGUGAGUAACACGUGGGUGACCUGCCCCGCACUUCGGGAUAAGCCUGGGAAACUGGGUCUAAUACCGGAUAGGACCGCACCGUGAGGGUGUGGUGGAAAGUUUUUCGGUGUGGGAUGGGCCCGCGGCCUAUCAGCUUGUUGGUGGGGUAAUGGCCUACCAAGGCGGCGACGGGUAGCCGGCCUGAGAGGGUGGACGGCCACAUUGGGACUGAGACACGGCCCAGACUCCUACGGGAGGCAGCAGUGGGGAAUAUUGCACAAUGGGCGGAAGCCUGAUGCAGCGACGCCGCGUGGGGGAUGACGGCCUUCGGGUUGUAAACUCCUUUCACCAGCGACGAAGGUUUUCUGACGGUAGAUGGAGAAGAAGCACCGGCUAACUACGUG